ACGCACGCUGGCGGCGUGCUUCACACCUGCCAGUCGAACGGAAAGGCCCUGCUUGCAGGGUACUCGAGUGGCGAACGGGUGAGUAACACGUGGGUGAUCUGCCCUGCACUUCGGGAUAAGCCUGGGAAACUGGGUCUAAUACCGGAUAGGAGCCAUUUUUAGUGUGAUGGUUGGAAAGUUUUUUCGGUGUAGGAUGAGCUCGCGGCCUAUCAGCUUGUUGGUGGGGUAAUGGCCUACCAAGGCGGCGACGGGUAGCCGGCCUGAGAGGGUGGACGGCCACAUUGGGACUGAGAUACGGCCCAGACUCCUACGGGAGGCAGCAGUGGGGAAUAUUGCACAAUGGGCGCAAGCCUGAUGCAGCGACGCCGCGUGGGGGAUGACGGCCUUCGGGUUGUAAACGCCUUUCGCUAGGGACGAAGCUUUUUGUGACGGUACCUAGAUAAGAAGCACCGGCUAACUACGUG
rnacentral:rRNA from 1 species